GACGAACGCUGGCGGCGUGCUUAACACAUGCAAGUCGAACGGAAAGGCCCUGCUUUUGUGGGGUGCUCGAGUGGCGAACGGGUGAGUAACACGUGAGUAACCUGCCCUUGACUUUGGGAUAACUUCAGGAAACUGGGGCUAAUACCGGAUAGGAGCUCCUGCUGCAUGGUGGUGGUUGGAAAGUUUCGGCGGUUGGGGAUGGACUCGCGGCUUAUCAGCUUGUUGGUGGGGUAGUGGCUUACCAAGGCUGUGACGGGUAGCCGGCCUGAGAGGGUGACCGGCCACAUUGGGACUGAGGGACGGCCCAGACUCCUACGGGAGGCAGCAGUGGGGAAUAUUGCACAAUGGGCGGAAGCCUGAUGCAGCAACGCCGCGUGCGGGAUGACGGCCUUCGGGUUGUAAACCGCUUUCGCCUGUGACGAAGCGGGAGUGACGGUAAUGGGUAAAGAAGCACCGGCUAACUACGUG
rnacentral:rRNA from 1 species